GGGCAGGUGGAGGUCGUUAGCCGUGGGAGGCAAUUCACCUAGGAGAGCAAACUCUAAACAAACCCGGGCAGGUGAGGCUCGUUAGCCGUGGUAGGCAGUUCACCUAGGAGAGCAAACCCCGAACAAUAAACCCGGGCAGGUGGAGGUCGUUAGCCGUGGUAGGCAAUUCACCUAGGAGAGCAAACUCUAAACAAACCCGGGCAGGUGGAGGUCGUUAGCCGUGGGAGGCAAUUCACCUAGGAGAGCAAACUCUAAACAAACCCGGGCAGGUGGAGGUCGUUAGCCGUGGGAGGCAAUUCACCUAGGAGAGCAAACUCUAAACAAACCCGGGCAGGUGGAGGUCGUUAGCCGUGGGAGGCAAUUCACCUAGGAGAGCAAACUCUAAACAAACCCGGGCAGGUGAGGCUCGUUAACCGUGGGAGGUAAUUCACCUAGGAGAGCAAACUCUAAACAAACCCGGGCAGGUGAGGCUCGUUAGCCGUGGUAGGCAGUUCACCUAGGAGAGGAAACUCUAAACAAACCCGGGCAGGUGGGGCUCGUUAGCCGUGGUAGGCAAUUCACCUAGGAGAGCAAACUCCGAACAACAAACCCGGGCAGGUGGAGGUCGUCAGCCGUGGUAGGCAGUUCACCUAGGAGAGCAAACUCCGAACAAUAAACCCGGCCAGGUGGAGGUCGUCAGCCGUGGUAGGCAAUCUGCCUAGGAGAGCAAACUCCGAACAAUAAACCCGGCCAGGUGGAGGUCGUCAGCCGUGGUAGGCAGUUCACCUAGGAGAGCAAACUCCGAACAAUAAACCCGGGCAGGUGGAGGUCGUCAGCCGUGGUAGGCAAUCUGCCUAGGAGAGCAAACUCCGAACAAUAAACCCGGGCAGGUGGAGGUCGUCAGCCGUGGUAGGCAAUCUGCCUAGGAGAGCAAACUCUAAACAAACCCGGGUUUGUGGUGCUCGUUAUACUGUCGUAGACAAUCCACGCGAUGGGAACACCAAAGAAAAGGAAAAUAAAAAGGAACACCAGAAAAAUGGAAAAUACAGAAACGAAACAUCAAGAAACAAAAAGAUCAUCCACCUUUAGGCCCUAACAUCGCCAAAAUUAUGGAUGGGUCUCUUCUGGGGAGAAAGCGGCUCAUCCAGACCAAAGAACAUCAACCAAAGGAUGAUAUGAAUAAAUGAAAUAAAAAAAAGCAUAAAGAAAAACACAUCAAGGAAAGAAAAAUAUAACAAACAUCAUCCACCUUCCGGCCCUGACUAACAUCACCAAAAUUAUGGGUGGGUCUCUUCUGGGGAGAAAGCGGCUCACCCAGACCAAAGAACAUCAACAAGGGAUGAUAUAGAAAAGAACACCAAAAAAAAUGGAAAAAGAUCAGAAAAAACAUCGAAAAAGAAAAGCAACAGAAAUAAAUGAACAACAUCAAGAAAAGAGAAAUACAAAGAAGCAUCAUCCACCUUUCGGUCCCAAACAACAUCACCAAAAUUAUGGAUGGGUCUCUUCUGGGAGGAAAGCGGCUCAUCCAGACCAAGGAACAUCAACAAGAGGAUGAUAGGAAAAAAGAACAUCAAAAAGCAUCAAUAAGAAGUAAAAGAAAAAGAACAGGAAAACAUCGAAAAGGAAAACUAAAGCAAUAAAAAGAACGAAAAACACGACAUCAAGAAAAUGAAAUAAAACAAACAUCAUCCACCUUUUGGCCC